AUUGAACGCUGGCGGCAGGCCUAACACAUGCAAGUCGAACGAGUGGCGGACGGGUGAGUAAUGUCUGGGAAACUGCCUGAUGUAGGGGUAUAACUACUGGAAACGGUAGCUAAUACCGCAUACCAUCGGAUGUGCCCAGAUGGGAUUAGCUAGUGGGUGGGGUAAAGGCUCACCUAGGCGACGCUCCCUAGCUGGUCUGAGAGGCUGACCAGCCACACUGGAACUGAGAAACGGUCCAGACUCCUACGGGAGGCAGCAGUGGGGAAUAUUGAACAAUGGGCGAAAGCCUGAUGCAGCCACGCCGCGGGAAUGAAGAAGGUCUUCGGGUUGUAAAGUACUGUCAGCGGGGAGGCGUUACCCGAAGAAGAAGCAACGGCUAACUCCGUGCCAGCAGCCGCGGUAAUUC
rnacentral:rRNA from 1 species